UACGGAGGGCGCAAGCGUUGUUCGGAAUCACUGGGCGUAAAGCGCGUGUAGGCGGCUUGGUAAGUCGGGUGUGAAAGCCCGGAGCUCAACUCCGGAACUGCACUCGAAACUGCCUCGCUCGAGUCCCGGAGAGGGUGGUGGAAUUCCCGGUGUAGAGGUGAAAUUCGUAGAUAUCGGGAGGAACACCAGUGGCGAAGGCGGCCACCUGGACGGUGACUGGCGCUGAGACGCGAAAGCGUGGGGAGCAAACAGG
rnacentral:rRNA from 1 species